AGGGAUUUAGCUUAGUGGCAUAAGCGCCUGCCUGGCAAGCAUGAGGCUAUGAGUUCGAUCCCUG
rnacentral:tRNA from 1 species